GUCUUAUCUACAUUUUCCCUCCAAUUCCGAACUUCCCAAUCUUUCAGAAUAUCUAAUCACAUCCUAUUUUUAUAUUUCUUCCUAUAAUGCGUAACAGAGGAUUUGUCAAAACAAAGAUUUAUGAGAAAGAUACACAAAAUUGAGUGAGAAAGGGAUCUAGAUUGAGGCCCAAAAAAUGUUGAAAUCCAUCGUGAAAAUGUUGGUUCAAAAAUGCAAUAGAAGGAAAGCUACCAAAGAAUUCCACUUGAAAGCAAAUGAGGCAGGAAUGAGAGGUCAUUGAAGAACUCUCCUUUUGCAGAGAGGUUUUAAUUUAGGGAUUUUAUAUGAUUGAUCUUACCAUUUUACCCUUGAGUUAAUUUGUUAAAUAUAGUUAAUGUUUUUUUAAAAUCCUAUGUGUCAUGUGGGACUCACCCAUAAAUAAUAAAAUAUAAUGGGUGUCAUGCCACAACAGCAGAUAAAAUUUAAUCAAAUUUUCAAAAUUUGAUCAAUUGAUUCAAAAUUACAAGAUUUGGAUUAAAACGCCAAAAGUUGUAAAAGUUUGGAUUUUUAGCACCAUUAAUCGCCUAAAAAAUAGCUCCAAACAUUUCACUUCCGUGAUACAAGGUAAAAUAGAUAUUAAAAAUUUCAGAAAGAAAAUAUAUAAUUGUUAAUAGCUCUUACAGAAAGAAAUACAUUGAUA
rnacentral:misc_RNA from 1 species